CUACGGGGGGCUGCAGUGGGGAAUAUUGGACAAUGGGGGAAACCCUGAUCCAGCAAUGCCGCGUGUGUGAAGAAGGCCUGCGGGUUGUAAAGCACUUUCGGUUGGGAGGACUGCUUCUAGCACUAAUAUUGUUGGAAGUUGACGUUACCUUCAGAAGAAGCACCGGCUAGACUCCGUGCCAGCAGCCGCGGUGAUACGGAGGGUGCAAGCGUUAAUCGGAAUUACUGGGCGUAAAGCGCGCGUAGGCGGCUAGAUCAGUCGGGUGUGAAAGCCCCGGGCUUAACCUGGGAACUGCAUCCGAUACUGUCUAGCUUGAGGACAGGAGAGGAGAGUGGAAUUCCACAUGUAGCGGUGAAAUGCGUAGAUAUGUGGAGGAACACCAAUGGCGAAGGCAGCUCUCUGGCCUGAUACUGACGCUGAGGUGCGAAAGCGUGGGGAGCAAACAGGAUUAGAUACCCGGGUAGUC
rnacentral:rRNA from 1 species